UAACGAACGCACUUUAAAGUGACAGCAGUGCAAGUCAUUCAGAAUUUGUUGUGCUAAGUUUUUAAGGAUAUUUACAGUAAUUGCCAGCAAUAUACGAAACAGCUACAGAAAAAUGCAUUUGUGACUCCAGAUAAAUGUCAAGUUUCAGAUACAUCUCCUGCAAGGUCAACAGGAGUUACCUCCACACCGCCAAAAGUAUUGCUGAAUACCAUGUUGAAUAAGAUCCAAAGAUUUUCAGACUCCUUUGAGACCUGAUGCUGGGAAGCUUUACUUGAAAAUAGUCCUCGAUGCCAGCAGCUUCCUAGCAAAUUCCCACCGAAGAAUGUGAUGCUAUCUACACCCUUCAAAUGCCACUCCUGUCUCUGCUCCUGUACGAACCUACCCGAUCACUCGAUUAGAGAUGUUACGGGAAGAUUGUCUGACCUUAGGAGAUGCAGAUUCAACUCAAAGGGAUUUAUCCAGUGAAUUCAGAGGACCCAUGUUACAUAGCAGAUUGGUGAAAAGGAUCACAACGGGCCAUACCUGCUAACAUU